rnacentral:rRNA from 1 species
CCCUUAGAUGUUCUGGGCUGCACGCGCGCUACACUGAAGCGUUCAACGAGUAUUCACCUUGCCCGGGAGGGUUGGGUAAUCUUUUGAAAACGCUUCGUGAUGGGGAUAGAUUAUUGCAAUUAUUAAUCUUCAACGAGGAAUUCCUAGUAAGCGCGAGUCAUCAGCUCGUGCUGAUUACGUCCCUGCCCUUUGUACACACCGCCCGUCGCUACUCCCGAUUGGACGUUUUAGUGAGGAUUUUGGACUGAGCCAAUGGUGGUUCACACCACUGUUGUGCAUGGAAAGAUCUCCAAACUUGAGCGUUUAGAGGAAGUAAAAGUCGUAACA